UGCAGCUCGUCCCAUGGCUUAAACCUGCUUUGAUUACUUGCCACAAAGGUUUGCCAGCAAUAGAAAAAAUCUGAAGAGGAAAGACCAACUAAUCGUUGUCAUUGACAUCUUGACAGAUGACUACAGGGAAACAAUGGUUCUUGAGGUGGAAUAAAACAUACACAUUCGGAGACCUUCUCUCUCACGGCUGUCCUCCAAGUCGCAGAAGUACAGGCGGGAGACAAAGAGUCGGAGUCGAACGUUGGGCGUCCGGUUGAGGAACUGGACCAGUCUGAAAGAGCAGUUGGCACAAGGAGACCAGGAGCAGAACCAGGCCCUUCCCAUGGCCACUCCCAACUGCUUCCAACUCACCUCCACAUGGCACCCAUUGCGAUUUCGGAGAUGCCCGAAGUCAAAGGACAGAGAGUCUGGGCCCACUCGCCUCUUCACCACAAAGCAGA